GGAGUGGCAGGGGAGGUGGCAUAGGAAUUGGUGGCGUGGACCUGGGAAGUGGAGUGGCAGUGGAGGUGGACUUGGGAUGUUGGUGGAGCAAAGGUACACUUUGCAAGUACAAUCAACACAAACUGAUGAUACAAUGAAUACAGAGGGAUGUGUCAAACAUGGCUCCCAAGGUUUUAAGAAGAUAAAGGCAUUUAUUUACACAUGAAGAUAGAAGAGAGGCAUAUUUCUAGGGGAAGAUCCAGAAAUUUAACCAUGUAAAGCUUGAGAUGGCUGUGAGACACAAACCUGGAGCUGUCACAUCAGAGUUGAAGGUGAAAGUCUGAAGUUCAAACAAGUCUGUUCCAGAGGUAAUUUGUGAGGUGGGAUCAUUGCCUGACCCAUCCCAAAUACAAAGUGCAAAGGAAGUACAGCCAGCCAAAUGCCAUCUUAAAUGCUUAGGGAACAGUAUAGGGUCCCAAGUCAGUCAUUCCUCUAUGUGGAAAAUUCAUAAUUCUUUUGAUUACCCCUUGUGUUUAUUUUACAGCCUUUUCUCUUCAAGAUUAAUGACUGUAAAUUCUUCAAUCCUUAUAACAAACAUCUGAUUUAUUCCUAUUCAAUCUUUCAUUGUAACUGUGUGUUUGUGUUUGUUUUCAAAAUUCUUCACCUAAAGUUUAUUUCUAAAAUAUCUUUGUCCAAACAAUCCCUACAACAUUUAGAGGCCGAUAUAGCAGAGAACAUCAAUAGGGUGCUCGGGACUGUACAAAAUUUAUAGAAGAAGCUGGUGAGAGAGACAAGACAAGGAGAGAAAUGGGCUUUACAAAAUUUUAUCCAUGUCAACUUAUGCCUCUCUUAUCUGAACGCACUCAUGCAAAUAGUAUUGAUCAUUCUAAUAGUGCUUCUCAACAUGAGAGCGAAAGAGGGACAGAAACACCCUGACGUGACUGCUAUGGCCA